rnacentral:miRNA from 12 species
AAAACCCUGGUUUGGAUUAAGGACCUGCUGGAUCUGCAUCUUCUGAGCUGGUGUGAGGGGAACUGAUGGGCAAGGAAUCCCAUCAG